rnacentral:rRNA from 1 species
CCUACGGGUGGCAGCAGUGAGGAAUAUUGGUCAAUGGGCGUAAGCCUGAACCAGCCAAGUCGCGUGAGGGAUGAAGGUUCUAUGGAUCGUAAACCUCUUUUAUAAGGGAAUAAAGUGUGGGACGUGUCCUAUUUUGUAUGUACCUGAAGAAAAAGCAUCGGCUAACUCCGUGCCAGCAGCCGCGGUAAUACGGAGGAUGCGAGCGUUAUCCGGAUUUAUUGGGUUUAAAGGGUGGGAAGGCGGAAUAUCAAGUCAGCGGUAAAAAUUCGGGGCUAAACCCCGUCGUGCCGUUGAAACUGUUGUUCUUGAGUGGGCGAGAGGUAUGCGGAAUGCGAGGUGUAGCGGUGAAAUGCAUAGAUAUCACGAAGAACUCCGAUUGCGAAGGCAGCAUACCGGCGCCCAACUGACGCUGAAGCACGAAAGCGUGGGUAUCGAACAGGAUUAGAUACCCCUGUAGUC